UACGGAGGGUCCAAGCGUUGUCCGGAAUUAUUGGGUGUAAAGGGUCCGCAGGCGGGACAGUAAGUCGGAGGUGAAAUCUCUUGGCUCAACCAAGAAAUUGCCUUCGAUACUGCUGUCCUUGAGUCCCGGAGAGGCUCCUGGAAUUCGUGGUGUAGCGGUGAAAUGCGUAGAUAUCACGAGGAACACCAGAAGCGUAAGCGAGGAGCUGGACGGGAACUGACGCUCAGGGACGAAAGCGUGGGGAGCAAACAGG
rnacentral:misc_RNA from 1 species